UGAACGCUGGCGGCGUGCUUAACACAUGCAAGUCGAACGAGAAAGUCUUUGCUUGCAAAGACGAGUAGAGUGGCGCACGGGUGAGUAACACGUAGAUAAUCUACCUUCAAAGCUGGAAUAACUAUUCGAAAGGGUAGCUAAUACCGGAUAAAGUAUUUUAACAUAAGUUAAAUUAUGAAAGAUUGCCUCUUCUUGAAAGCAAUCGUUUGGAGAUGAGUCUGCGGACCAUUAGUUUGUUGGUGGGGUAACGGCCUACCAAGACUGCGAUGGUUAGCUGGUCUGAGAGGAUGAUCAGUCACACUGGAACUGGAACACGGUCCAGACUCCUACGGGAGGCAGCAGUGAGGAAUUUUGCGCAAUGGGGGAAACCCUGACGCAGCAACGCCGCGUGAGUGAAGAAGGCCUUUGGGUCGUAAAGCUCUGUCAACUGGGAAGAAGUUAUAACUAUCCAAUAGGUAGUUGUAUUGACGGUACCAGUGGAGGAAGCGCCGGCUAACUCC
rnacentral:rRNA from 1 species